UACGAAGGGGGCUAGCGUUGCUCGGAAUCACUGGGCGUAAAGGGUGCGUAGGCGGGUCUUUAAGUCAGGGGUGAAAUCCUGGAGCUCAACUCCAGAACUGCCUUUGAUACUGAGGAUCUUGAGUUCGGGAGAGGUGAGUGGAACUGCGAGUGUAGAGGUGAAAUUCGUAGAUAUUCGGAAGAACACCAGUGGCGAAGGCGACUCACUGGCCCAUUACUGACGCUGAGGCGCGAAAGCGUGGGGAGCAAACAGG
rnacentral:rRNA from 1 species